UGUAGCUAUAUCACGUUGAAACGCCGGUUCUCGUACGAUCACCAAAGUUAAGCAACGUCGAACCUGGUCAGUACCUACCUAGAUGGCUGAUCGCUUGGGAAUACCAAGUGCUGUAA